rnacentral:rRNA from 1 species
GACGAACGCUGGCGGCGCGCCUAACACAUGCAAGUCGAACGAGAGAGAAGGAGCUUGCUUCUUCGAUCGAGUGGCGAACGGGUGAGUAACGCGUGAGGAACCUGCCUCAAAGAGGGGGACAACAGUUGGAAACGACUGCUAAUACCGCAUAAGCCCACGGGUCGGCAUCGACCAGAGGGAAAAGGAGCAAUCCGCUUUGAGAUGGCCUCGCGUCCGAUUAGCUAGUUGGUGAGGUAACGGCCCACCAAGGCGACGAUCGGUAGCCGGACUGAGAGGUUGAACGGCCACAUUGGGACUGAGACACGGCCCAGACUCCUACGGGAGGCAGCAGUGGGGAAUAUUGCACAAUGGGGGAAACCCUGAUGCAGCGACGCCGCGUGGAGGAAGAAGGUCUUCGGAUUGUAAACUCCUGUUGUUGAGGAAGAUAAUGGCGGUACUCAACAAGGAAGUGACGGCUAACUACGUGCCAGCCGCCGCAGUAAUAC